CUCAUACUCGAUUUCCCCCAAUUCUCACAAACCCUAAAACUUCGAACUCCUUCAUCUUCUCCGUCCCUGUGCGAUUGGAUUGACGGCGGCGACAGGAGACUCACCUGGAGGCUGCGACAACCGACGCCUGGUUCAAGGCGGCGCCGGAGACCCACCUUCUUCGCUGGAGACCCACCUGCGAGGCUUCCUGCUUCAGAACAAAGCCAUUUUUUGAGAGACAAAUGAUCCAUUUCAACCUCUACUCAAUAUUUCCAAGAAGAAUUUAUAGCUACUGACAGCUCUUAGCAGAUCAACAAGGAAGCAGCAUGCCAGCAACAUUCUCUUAACUAAAACCAGAUCUUGGGAUCCUCCCUAAAAGAGAUAUAUGAAAGUAAAUUCAGAUGGAUCACGAUUGGCUUCAGAUAAUGCUGGAGGAUGUGGUGUGCUACCCAAUGAGAAUGUUGUUUGGCAAAUUGGAAACUCUCUACCAUUAUAAGCCUUGCUGCAGCUGAUAUUAUCUCGAUCAGGAAGGGACUGAUCAUGUUUGUACGCUGAGAGUCACAUACGAGGCAACAAACUCAAUAGCCCAAGUUUCUCCCAAGAGCAGCAAGAAUGAUUGUUUAAAGUUAUAUUUCCUUAUAUUGAUUGGGAGAGUGCAGGGAAUGAUGCAAGGUAGAAAUAUGCUUUGAUUUUGACAUUA